rnacentral:antisense_RNA from 1 species
UGCUUGGGUGGUGGUGUGCGGGAGGGGGGAACCCCUGCCGGUUCCGUGAGGCCGGUCUGCUAACCCGCAUAUCGCCGCCCUUU